rnacentral:rRNA from 1 species
UACAGAGGGGGCAAGCGUUGUUCGGAAUUACUGGGCGUAAAGGGCGCGUAGGCGGCCUUCUAAGUCAGACGUGAAAUCCCUCGGCUCAACCGGGGAACUGCGUCUGAGACUGGAAGGCUUGAAUCCGGGAGGAGGGAUGUGGAAUUCCAGGUGUAGCGGUGAAAUGCGUAGAUAUCUGGAGGAACACCGGUGGCGAAGGCGGCAUCCUGGACCGGUAUUGACGCUGAGGCGCGAAAGCCAGGGGAGCAAACGGG